GAGUAUCCGAAACUACGACGCAAUGUUAGUCGGAAAUAACGUAUCUAGUUAAUCAUGUUAUCGCAUGAUGUUCUUGUUCAUUGGCAAACAUUAUUUCAGCAGUCGAUACGUCCUCCAAACUUCAGUAACCGUUACUAUAUAGUCCCCGUUCGUCACAAACAACCGUUGACAUUUCGUCAACCUCAAAUUCGAAUAUAUUAACCGUUUACACGCACGAGAAUAUCCCUUUAUCCAAACUAGCAAGUGUGUCUACUGUUUUCUUACUAGGCAAACAAAAGUUUGUCACAGCAUGUGCGCAGUUCACUUUACCUAUGUGCAUUCAUACUAAAAGCCAUUCGUCCACAAGCAAGUUAUUUGCGCAAUUGACGUAAGCUUUCAUGAAGGCCAAACCAAUGCUGAUUCGUCAAUGCUGAUUGUCAGCUUGAAAGUAAAGAUGAGCAAAGUGGUUCAACUGAAUCUUAUGGUUGCAGUAGGGCAUAUUAGAAGUAAGUAAGUGACAAGUAUGUGUCAGCAAUUGCUUAUGCUUCUUAACCCUAGAUACUUUUGAUUCAAUCCUUUUGGUGAUGACGUAAUGUGGCAGAAAACAGUAGACACGCUUCAUCUUAUCGGAAACCCUGAAUGAUUGGUAUUUGUGAGCAUGUGUGCCUGUGAGUGUGUAAGGGUGGAUGUGGGUGUGUGGGUAUGUAUGUGCGUAUGUGAGGAUGUGCGUGUCAUCUUACAAGUAAUUUAGUGAAUGAGUGCAUAGGUACUAGUUUUCAAGUAAAUACGUGCAUGAGUGCAUGUAGUCAGUGGUGUAUGGAACUCGCAUUGUGCCUGCCUGCUGCCAACGAAAUAUGCAAGCCCACACAGAGAAAACAGUUUUGUUGUGCGAAACUUCAUGCUGCUGGCAGGGUUUACAUGCAAGUCACAUAUUGCAGGUCUACCAUAAGCAGAGCAAUGUGACAUCUGAUAAGUAACUCACAGCAACACAUACUCUGCAUGUCCAGGGAAAGUGAGUUGUGCUCGGAACACAUUGGCCAGACAGUUUUGUCCUAUCAAAUUCAGAAUUGUUUUAUCCUCCUCACAGUUGUCAUUAACACUUCAUGAGCACACAUUAUUGCUAGAUCUGAAUGCCAGCUGCCUAUUGCACUGCUGGCACGUAGUUGGAGACAAAGGUGCCGCCAGUUUUCCACCUCGCUGCUGAUACAAUGCAAUACUGCUACAAAAUGUCCGUGUUCUGUGUUUUUAGUGUUGUAUGUUUGUAUAUGUGUCUUGCGUCGUAUGCGCAUUACCUACAUAAGUUUUAAGUGUUCCCGCGAAAGUAGGUACUGAAUUAGCUCAAGCCAGGAUUGCGUUGCGGAGAUAUUUGUAGCCCAUACAAUGUUUUAUGGCGUCAUUUACGACACUUUCUGUUUUUUCUUGUCAUUGUAUGCACGUGAGUUGUGCCGCAUGUUGCGCUUGCAAAUCAUGUUCUCAAUGCCAUUUUCUUUUGAUACAAUUGGUCACCACUACACAUCACUCGCAUACACUCGCCCAAGCAAGUCGGAUAUCAAUCACUGUCCAGAAGUGCAUGAUGCAUUCAACCACGCAUAGAACACUGGCACACCAAGAACAUGAACUCACGCAAAAACGAGAGGACUAUUACACGACUUCGCAUUGGACACACCGCUAUCACACACAACUACAUCAUCACAAGAAGCCCGAGACCGAAAUGCAACACCUGCAACACUUUCAUCACUGUCAAACAUCUGCUACUCACAUGCCCACAAUACCAACACCACAGGACAAACAUACAAACAUACUGCAGAGACGCCAACAUCCCACUAACACUCACAACACUGCUCGGGGACUUACACCCCGAGCUAACAACACUACUCAUCCACUAAAGACACAACACUGGGCUGAUAAAUGACCUGUAAAUCUCCUCCCCUAGAGCCAAGGACAAAAAAGCCAAAAAAAGCCAAAAAAGAAGCCAAAAAGAAAAAAACAACAUUCAAAACAAUAAGAAUCAAAAUAAAAGACCCCAGAAUGGCAAAAUGGCAAAAAAAAAAACAAAAAAAAAAACAAAAAAAAAACAAUAGAAGGGGCAAUCCGGCUACCCGGGAGGAGAUAGCUAGGAACCCUGACCCACCCUCAGCCCACCCUUACGAGCCAAGAAGACGACGGACACUUCAAGACAAUGGACGGACCAACAACGAAGACGGACGACAGAACCGGGCCCAAAUACAGAACGCUGUGGUGGCCCGUAAGCCACAAAUACCAUACCAUACCAUACCAGUGCAUCAUGCAGCAGAAGAAGCUUCAUUGAACACACUCGUCAUCAUGAACGGCAUCUUAGGAGCUUCAUGAGUUUGGAUCUGUGACCAGUUGUUUUCGCAGUAUCCAAUAGCAACCGUGUAUGACCAGGCGCCGCUUGGACGCCUUGUCCAGCCACGUCUUCCGGGACUGUGUGAUGACUGCCUCUGCAAUCUCAAGUGCCAGUUUCUGCCUCCGGCCUAUUUCUUUAUCAAAGGAUGUUGGUAACUGAACGACCAGCUCUGCUCCAAGAUUCCAAAUCGUUUUACGGUAUAGUACAAGUCAUCCUUACCGUCGAUACCGUAGAAGAAUUUGCCGUCGACCACGGAACACAUAUUGUGCUUCCCGUUGCUGGUAAUUUUUUAUUUGUCACUUAGGUGACAGUUACUAUAGUUCGUUUUCUUUUUAAAGUUCGGCCCUGACUGUAAACAUCUUUUUGAACACAGCACGAGAAUUACUGAGAAAAUUGGUUAGCGCCCAUUGAUACCGUUGUGUUAAACGCGGUGCGAUUUAUUAAUUAGUUCAGUUAUCACUCCUGACAAAUCGUCUAUCCCUGUGGGGUUGUAAAUAUGAGCAAAUACGAGCUGAGGGGUCUGGGAAAUAGGAGCCAGAAAGAAAUAACUUUGAUAAAGUUUUUCAUCAGUGAAAUUCAACGUGCGACAACCAUUUUCCUCUUCUUAGUAAUUCAGCUAGCAAUUCUCGUGCUGUGUUCGAAGAGACGUUUACAGUGAGGGUCGAACUUAGGACGAACUAUGGCACCUAUCAGCAGAUAUACGUUCAUAAUGCAACAAGGGAACGAAAAGCGUGUUCAAAACUUUAACUCAUUGUCCUUAUGUGCCUGCAGGCUGAUUUCGCAGUAUCCAAUGGCAACCGUGUAUGACCAGGCGCCGCUUGGACGCCUUGUCCAGUCACGUCUUCUGGGACUGUGUGAUGACUGCCUCUGCACUCUCAAGUGCCAGUUUCUGCCUCCGGCCUAUUUCAUUAUCAAAGGAUGCUGUUAGCUGAACGAACAGCUCUGCUCCAAGAUUCCAAACGUUUUUACGGUAUUGUAUGCCUACAAAACGUUAGUAUUUUUUGA